UAACACAUGCAAGUCGAGCGGAAACGACACUAACAAUCCUUCGGGUGCGUUAAUGGGCGUCGAGCGGCGGACGGGUGAGUAAUGCCUAGGAAAUUGCCUUGAUGUGGGGGAUAACCAUUGGAAACGAUGGCUAAUACCGCAUAAUGCCUACGGGCCAAAGAGGGGGACCUUCGGGCCUCUCGCGUCAAGAUAUGCCUAGGUGGGAUUAGCUAGUUGGUGAGGUAAUGGCUCACCAAGGCGACGAUCCCUAGCUGGUCUGAGAGGAUGAUCAGCCACACUGGAACUGAGACACGGUCCAGACUCCUACGGGAGGCAGCAGUGGGGAAUAUUGCACAAUGGGCGAAAGCCUGAUGCAGCCAUGCCGCGUGUAUGAAGAAGGCCUUCGGGUUGUAAAGUACUUUCAGUUGUGAGGAAGGGGGUAGCGUUAAUAGCGCUAUCUCUUGACGUUAGCAACAGAAGAAGCACCGGCUAACUCCGUGCCAGCAGCCGCGGUAAUACGGAGGGUGCGAGCGUUAAUCGGAAUUACUGGGCGUAAAGCGCACGCAGGUGGUUCAUUAAGUCAGAUGUGAAAGCCCGGGGCUCAACCUCGGAACUGCAUUUGAAACUGGUGAACUAGAGUACUGUAGAGGGGGGUAGAAUUUCAGGUGUAGCGGUGAAAUGCGUAGAGAUCUGAAGGAAUACCAGUGGCGAAGCGGCCCCUGGACAGAUACUGACACUCAAAUGCGAAAGC
rnacentral:rRNA from 1 species